CAUUAGAUGGCUGAAAGUAAGCUCUGGUCUCUUAAACCAUUUUAUAAUAGAUUAACAACUAUUUCUAAUGA
rnacentral:tRNA from 1 species